UCAGUCGACUCCUACGGGGAGGCAGCAGUGGGGAAUUUUGGACAAUGGGGGGCAACCCUGAUCCAGCAAUGCCGCGUGAGUGAAGAAGGACCCUCGGGUUGUUAAAGCUCUUUUGUCAGGGAAGAAACGGUGAUCUCUAAUAUAGAUUGCUAAUGACGGUACCUGAAGAUAAGCACCGGCUAACUACGUGCCAGCAGCCGCGGUAAUACGUAGGGUGCAAGCGUUAAUCGGAAUUACUGGGCGUAAAGCGUGCGCAGGCGGUUUUGUAAGUCUGAUGUGAAAUACCCCGGGCUCAACCUGGGAACUGCAUUGGAGACUGCAAGGCUAGAGUGUGUCAGAGGGGGGUAGGAAUUCCACGUGUAGCAGUGAAAUGCGUAGAGAUGUGGAGGAAUACCGAUGGCGAAGGCAGCCCCCUCGGGAUAACACUGACGCUCAUGCACGAAAGCGUGGGGAGCAAACAGGAUUAGAUACCCUGGUAG
rnacentral:rRNA from 1 species